rnacentral:piRNA from 1 species
AAAGGGAAGGAGGACGUGGGCAAGAC